GACGAACGCUGGCGGCGUGCUUAACACAUGCAAGUCGAACGAUGAUGCUGGAGCUUGCUCCAGUUGAUUAGUGGCGAACGGGUGAGUAACACGUGAGCAAUCUGCCCUUGACUCUGGGAUAACUGCGGGAAACUGUAGCUAAUACCGGAUACUUUCACCGGAAGGCAUCUUCUGGUGAUGAAAGAAUUUCGGUCAGGGAUGAGCUCGCGGCCUAUCAGCUUGUUGGUGAGGUAACGGCUCACCAAGGCGACGACGGGUAGCCGGCCUGAGAGGGUGAUCGGCCACAUUGGAACUGAGACACGGUCCAAACUCCUACGGGAGGCAGCAGUGGGGAAUAUUGCACAAUGGGCGAAAGCCUGAUGCAGCAACGCCGCGUGAGCGAUGAAGGCCUUCGGGUCGUAAAGCUCUGUCCUCAAGGAAGAUAAUGACGGUACUUGAGGAGGAAGCCCCGGCUAACUACGUGCCAGCAGCCGCGGUAAUACGUAGGGGGCUAGCGUUAUCCGGAAUUACUGGGCGUAAAGGGUGCGUAGGUGGUUUUUCAAGUCAGGAGUGAAAGGCUACGGCUCAACCGUAGUAAGCUCUUGAAACUGUAAAACUUGAGUGCAGGAGAGGAGAGUGGAAUUCCUAGUGUAGCGGUGAAAUGCGUAGAUAUUAGGAGGAACACCAGUUGCGAAGGCGGCUCUCUGGACUGUAACUGACACUGAGGCACGAAAGCGUGGGAGCAAACAGGAUUAGAUACCCUGGUAGUCCACGCCGUAAACGAUGAGUACUAGCUGUCGGAGGUUACCCCCUUCGGUGGCGCAGCUAACGCAUUAAGUACUCCGCCUGGGAAGUACGCUCGCAAGAGUGAAACUCAAAGGAAUUGACGGGGACCCGCACAAGUAGCGGAGCAUGUGGUUUAAUUCGAAGCAACGCGAAGAACCUUACCUAAGCUUGACAUCCCACUGACCUCUCCCUAAUCGGAGACUUCCCUUCGGGGACAGUGGUGACAGGUGGUGCAUGGUUGUCGUCAGCUCGUGUCGUGAGAUGUUGGGUUAAGUCCCGCAACGAGCGCAACCCUUGCCUUUAGUUGCCAGCAUUAAGUUGGGCACUCUAGAGGGACUGCCAGGGAUAACCUGGAGGAAGGUGGGGAUGACGUCAAAUCAUCAUGCCCCUUAUGCUUAGGGCUACACACGUGCUACAAUGGGUGGUACAGAGGGCAGCCAAGUCGUGAGGCGGAGCUAAUCCCUUAAAGCCAUCCUCAGUUCGGAUUGUAGGCUGAAACUCGCCUACAUGAAGCUGGAGUUACUAGUAAUCGCAGAUCAGAAUGCUGCGGUGAAUGCGUUCCCGGGUCUUGUACACACCGCCCGUCACACCAUGGGAGUUGGAGACGCCCGAAGCCACUUAGCUAACCUUUUGGAAGCGAGUGUCGAAGGUGGAAUCAAUAACUGGGGUG
rnacentral:rRNA from 1 species